ACUAAAUAUUUUUGGAUUUUGAAUUUAAGCAAAUACUUUGAUUCUAAAUAAAUGUUAAUUGAGCUUAUUUCUUUUAAAACAAAGUCAACUUUUUUUGAACCAAAGGAAAAUGUUUUUAACUUGAAGAAAUGAUUCCUUUAGAUAAAAACUUCAGCCUUUGAUUCAAAAGAUAUUUUGAUUUGCCUUGCAAGAAGAAUACAAAACCGAAAAAUCGAAUCAAGUUCGGCCGGUCGUGUGAAAAUGUAGGUCAGAGUUAGCUAUAUUAAAAGGAUUCAGGAUGAAGUAUGAACCAGAGCCGAAGGAUGGUUUCCCUGGAUGCCUCAACCGAGAUGAAAGCUGCGCACGAUGACACCGCUCCAAAUCCAGCGGUCAGGUCGACAAAAAUUUGGACCGGAUCGAUUUUAGUGAACUAGUUUGUGGCCAAGUGUUUCAUCUGUUGUAAAUAAAAAUUAAUUUAACAUAUAAA